GGGGGAAUAUUGGACAAUGGGCGCAAGCCUGAUCCAGCCAUGCCGCGUGUGUGAAGAAGGCCUUCGGGUUGUAAAGCACUUUUGUCCGGAAAGAAAUCUUCCAACUUAAUACGUUGGGAGGAUGACGGUACCGGAAGAAUAAGCACCGGCUAACUUCGUGCCAGCAGCCGCGGUAAUACGAAGGGUGCAAGCGUUACUCGGAAUUACUGGGCGUAAAGCGUGCGUAGGCGGUUCGUUAAGUCUGACGUGAAAUCCCCGGGCUCAACCUGGGACGUGCGUUGGAAACUGGCGAUCUAGAGUACGGUAGAGGGUGGUGGAAUUCCCGGUGUAGCAGUGAAAUGCGUAGGGAUCGGGAGGAACACUCGUGGCAAAGGCGGCCACCUGGACCAGUACUGACGCUGAGGCACGAAAGCGUGGGGAGCAAACAGGAUUAGAUACCCUGGUAGUCCACGCCCUAAACGAUGCUAACUCGAUGUUGG
rnacentral:rRNA from 1 species